rnacentral:snRNA from 1 species
GGACUCGGUUCAUCAGCACAUAUACUAAAAUUGGAAUGACAUAAAAUUAGCAUGGCCUUUGCACAACAGUGAUACCCAAAUUUGUGAAACUCCAUAUUUUUGU